CGCACAUUGCGCCCCUUGGUAUUCCAUGGGGCAUGCCUGUUCGAGCGUCAUUUGAACCCUCAAGCUUUGCUUGGUGAUGGGUGUUUGUCCUUGUCUUCAGUACUUGGACUCGCCUUAAAAUUAUUGGCAGCCGGCAUAUAGGCCUUUGGAGCGCAGCACAAUUUGCGAUCUAAGCCCGUAUUCUGGUAACCCAUUAAGCAUAUUUUACCACGUUUGACCUCGGAUCAGGUAGGGAUACCCGCUGAACUUAA
rnacentral:misc_RNA from 1 species